UCAUUGCUGAAGAGUCUCAUAAUCAUAGGACGAAACAGCUGUCCAAUAC
rnacentral:hammerhead_ribozyme from 1 species